rnacentral:tRNA from 1 species
CAGAAUGUAGUCUAAAUAGGAUUUUAGCUUUGGGAGCUAGAGGUAGGCGUGGAAGUCGCCUUUUUCUGA